ACGAACGCUGGCGGCGUGCUUCACACAUGCAGGUCGAACGGUAAGGCCUUUCGGGGUACACGAGUGGCGAACGGGUGAGUAACACGUGGGUGAUCUGCCCUGCACUUCGGGAUAAGCCCGGGAAACUGGGUCUAAUACCGGAUAGGACUGCGCGGUGCAUGCCGUGUGGUGGAAAGAUUUAUCGGUGCAGGAUGGGCCCGCGGCCUAUCAGCUUGUUGGUGGGGUAAUGGCCUACCAAGGCGACGACGGGUAGCCGGCCUGAGAGGGCGACCGGCCACACUGGGACUGAGACACGGCCCAGACUCCUACGGGAGGCAGCAGUGGGGAAUAUUGCACAAUGGGCGCAAGCCUGAUGCAGCGACGCCGCGUGAGGGAUGACGGCCUUCGGGUUGUAAACCUCUUUCAGCAGGGACGAAGCGUGAGUGACGGUACCUGCAGAAGAAGCACCGGCCAACUACGUG
rnacentral:rRNA from 1 species